UCUAUGGCCAUACCACACUGAAUGCUCCUGAUCUCGUCUGAUCUCAGAAGCUAAGCAGGGUCAGGCCUGGUUAGUACUUGGAUGGGAGGAUUACACACAAUUAAAUGUGAAGAUUAAGUGAAAUACGAA
rnacentral:rRNA from 1 species